AUUGUAUUCCUUCCCUUUGAAGUCUCGAACUCCCCACCCUCUUCUCUUAAUUCAGGAUGACAUUCAGAGCCCAUUAUGCCUGACUGCCAUGUCCAUGUGGAUUCCCUGCAUGUAUGCUAUUAACUUUGAGUUUCUCCUGUUCAUCUGUCUCAUGUCAAUUUGAUUCUUGGUGCAGCUAGAAGGACCUUGAAGGGGACAGGAACUCUGGGGACUGGCCCACAGCACCCUCUCCUCCUCCUGCUGGCAAAGCCCUUGGCCGCUCCACCUCCUACCCCACUAUCCCAACAAGGCCUUCUGAAGUGGUAGGUGGCAGGAAGAAGGCCCCAUGGGCUUUAUAUUAGGAAGGCUAGUCUGGUAUGCGCUGGUGGAGAGGGUGGCCCUGGGCCCAUGGACCAGAUGUUGGGACAGAUUGACUUGAGGAAUGGAGAUUACCAGAAAUUGCAUUUUGAGCACAUCUGAGCUCACAGGGUAGACAGUUCUACAAAGGUUCCAGUAGCCAAUGGAGGUCCAGAACUGAGUUGGGGGAUGGAGGUGGCAGGAAGUAGGUGUGCAGAGACUGGAGGUGGUGCUAGAGAGGGGAGCAGGGGCCCUCCCCGGAGAGAAGGCCGUCAGGGCCAGAUUCCAGGAGAUGCUGAGGUGAGGGACCAGAGCAAAGAGAGGGGAUACCUCAUCAUAUCAGCCAUAUGCUCCAAAGGACAGUACUCCUUUUCUUCCAAUUAAUGAAAUUAGGAAGUAACUGGAAAAAAAAUUAAGGGAAGUAGAUGGAGAAAAGAUUAAUUUCGAAAAAUAGAAGGCAGUUAGCCUCUGAGCUCAGUUCCAGUCCCAGAGGGCAGGGAGCAUUAGCUGAGCACCAGGGAAAAAACCCAGGCAGGCAGGACAUGAAGCUGCUCUGGGUUCUGCUCCUUCUUGUCACCCAAGGCUGCCAAAGACUGCUCUGAAUGACCAAAGACUAGACCACGAUCUGGUGUCAUAACACAACAAUGAAGAGAGGGACAAAGUCCUCUGGUGGCACCAGUAAAGACCAAGUGGCUACAAACUGGAAACACGUAGAAGAGACACUGAGUCAAAACUGGAGAGAUGAAUAUAAAGAUUUGAUUCCUUCAAGCAGAGAAGAGAGAACAUAUCCAGGCAGAGGGAUCAGCUUGUGCAAAGGUAUUAUGAUUCAGAGGAGAAAGGCCACUUCUCCAUCUGACAGGAGAGAACAGUGAGAGGCACACUGAUGGGCACACUGAUCAUAAAAUGUUCCUAUGGCCAAGGGUGGGAAUCCUACAAGAAGUGGUGGUGCCGCGAUUGUGACUGGGAUUCCUGUAAAAUCCUUGUAAAAACCACUGGGUCAGAGAAACUGAUGAAGAAGGGCCAAGUGUCCAUCCAGGACAAUCACAGCCAAGCACGUUACCAUGAUCUUGGAGAAUCUACAGCAGGAUGACACAAACACCUACUGGCGUGGGACAGAGAAAUUAGGAAAUGAGGGGAUCCCUGGGUGGUGCAGCGGUUUGGCGCCUGUCUUUGGCCCAGGGCGUGAUCCUGGAGUCCCGGGAUCGAGUCCCAUGUCAGGCUCCCUGCAUGGAGCCUGCUUCUGCCUCUGCUUGUGUCUCUGCCUCUCUCUCUCUGUCUGUGUGUGACUAUCAUUAAAAAAAAAAUUAGGAGAUGAAAUCCGGCUGAAAUUUUCCGUGUUUCUUGACCCAAGUAGGCACUGCUCCCUCCUGUGCUCUGGGGCCCUGGUACCCAACCACGGAGGAAUCAAGACUGUACCUCUCUCUUUCUUCCCUGAUUAAUAGAGAGUGAUCUCUAAACUUGCCUGAGACUGUGUGUGUGUGUGUGUGUGUGUGGUUGUGUGCACACAUGUAUGAACAUGUAUUGGGGGCACC
rnacentral:lncRNA from 1 species